GGUUGUAUCCCUAGCUGAUGAGUUGUAUGAGCCUCUACUACCUGGCGCACCUCCGCCUGAAGAUUGCCAGAAUUGCUUGCCUCAUGACGUGAGUCACAAUGGAAACUUUGUCAAGCCCCCUGCACUGGCUGCCAACAUAAAUGUUCAGUACCCUGAAGGAUGGGACUGAAGGGGGAUCAUCUAGAAGGUAAAGUUACCUACUGGCAUAGGGGAGGUGGGACAGCCGUUAAGCCAUUUGGAACUUGAUGGAGACAGGUUUGAGGGAGGUGGGUGAGAUUGGAGUUUGGUGGACUGUAGAGCUUGCUUGCCAAGGUGUUGAGGUCAGGGUUGGUUUGAGAAUGGAAGCUAGUUACUAGCUAUGAUUGUGGGGGAACACAGCUUGAUUUUUCUUACAAGCUAAGAGGAGUGAGGCAGUGUUUAAGAGGGCAUGUUAAAUGCAGCCAGGCUUGGUGGCUCACACCCGUAAUCCCAGCACUUAGGCUGAGGCAG
rnacentral:lncRNA from 1 species